GUGUUUUGGCAGUACAUAUACUAAAAUUGGAACGAUACAGAGAAGAUUAGCAUGGCCCCUGCCCA
ensembl:snRNA U6 U6 spliceosomal RNA